CAGCCUCAUGAAAUGUGACAUCCCCAACUUCAGCAACACGGACCAGAACUCUUCCUUUGGGGAAGAUGAUAUCCUGAUUUUGGAAUCACCGAUUGUUCUAGAAAAUAAGCCAGUUGACCAGACCUCACACAAAGACUUGAAAUGAGAAACGUGCUUUGUCAAAUGUCUUCUUGAAGAUGUGAAUUCUGUCUUUGUAUGGCAGGAAGUCCCCUUUCACAGAAUUGUAUGUGUUUGUGUCUGAGAGAGAGAAAUGGAGACAGACAGAAAGACAGAGAGGCAGAAGAGAGCCCCCUCAGAAGAGAGCUAGUUAAGCAUCACAGACUGACGAAGACAGUGGAAAAUGCCUCUGAGUUUGGCACUGAUUGCCUGGAGAAUGCUGAAACCCAGGGAAGUGGGCAGCACAGAUGUUUACUCAUUUAAUCCUGCCAACACAGUAGGAGAUAGAGUCUACAUAUUCAUCGCUACUUAAAAGAUCCCUGCCUUCUCUCUGCUCCUCCUGUCUAUCUGUCUCCCUCCACUUUUCCCCUCCUCCCAACUUCUCCCUCCCUCACUUCCCCACCUUCUCUCUCAGAACCCAGAGGAUCACUGGCCCUCCUGUGCAUGCGCAGUCAGUG